UACUUCUACCCGAAACUAUGAGCUGGAUCCCCCUAAGCGAAAUGGUUCUACCUAAGUUAAGCUAUAUAUAAAAACCUGAGCGAAGAGUACUUCUACCCGCAAAUAUGAGCUGGAUUCCCCUAGGCAAAAUGGUUCUACCUGGGUUAAGCUAUGUAAAACAACCUGAGUGAAGCGUACUUCUACCCGGAACUAUGAACUGGAUCCCCCUAGGCGAAAAGAUUCUACCUGGAUUAAGCUACGUAAAACAACCUGGGCGAAGAGUACUUCUACCCGGAACUAUGAACUGGAUCUCCUUUGACGAAAAUGAUCUACCUGGGUUAAGCUACUUAAACAACUUGGGCGAAGAGUACUUCUACCAGGAACUAUGAGCUGGAUCCCUCUAGGCGAAAAUGUUCUACCUGGGUUAAGCUACGUAAAACAAGCCUGGGCGAAGAGUACUUCUACCCGGAACUAUGAGUUGGAUCCCCCUAAGCGAAAAGGUUCUACCUGGGUUAAGCUAUGUAAAACAUCCUAAGCGAAGAGUACUUCUACUCGGAACUAUGAGAUGGAUCCCCCUAGGCGAAAAGAUUCUACCUGGGUUAAGCUACGAAAAAUAAGCCUGUGCGAAUACUACUUCUACUCCGAAAUAUGAGCUAGAUCCCCCUAGGUAAAAAAGGUUCUACAUGGGUUAAGCUAUGAAACAACCUGAGUGAAGAGUACUUCUACCCGAAACUAUGAGCUGGAUCCCCCUAGGCGAAAAGAUUCUACCUGGAUUAAGCUACGUAAAACAACCUGGG
rnacentral:lncRNA from 1 species